rnacentral:rRNA from 1 species
UACGUAGGGUGCAAGCGUUAAUCGGAAUUACUGGGCGUAAAGCGUGCGCAGGCGGUUAUACAAGACAGAUGUGAAGUCCCCGGGCUCAACCUGGGAAUUGCAUUUGUGACUGUAUGGCUAGAGUGUGUCAGAGGGGGGUAGAAUUCCACGUGUAGCAGUGAAAUGCGUAGAUAUGUGGAGGAAUACCGAUGGCGAAGGCAGCCCCCUGGGAUAACACUGACGCUCAUGCACGAAAGCGUGGGGAGCAAACAGG